GACGAACGCUGGCGGCACGCUUAACACAUGCAAGUCGAACGAGAGAAGAGAAGCUUGCUUUUCUGAUCUAGUGGCGGACGGGUGAGUAACACGUGAGCAAUCUGCCUUUCAGAGGGGGAUACCGAUUGGAAACGAUCGUUAAUACCGCAUAACAUAAUUGAACCGCAUGAUUUGAUUAUCAAAGAUUUAUCGCUGAAAGAUGAGCUCGCGUCUGAUUAGCUAGUUGGUAAGGUAACGGCUUACCAAGGCGACGAUCAGUAGCCGGACUGAGAGGUUGAUCGGCCACAUUGGGACUGAGACACGGCCCAGACUCCUACGGGAGGCAGCAGUGGGGAAUAUUGCACAAUGGAGGAAACUCUGAUGCAGCGAUGCCGCGUGAGGGAAGAAGGUUUUAGGAUUGUAAACCUCUGUCUUCAGGGACGAAAAAAGA
rnacentral:rRNA from 1 species